rnacentral:rRNA from 1 species
UACGCAGGGUGCAAGCGUUAAUCGGAAUUACUGGGCGUAAAGCGUGCGCAGGCGGUUUUGUAAGUUUGUCGUGAAAGCCCCGGGCUCAACCUGGGAAUUGCGAUGAAGACUGCAAGGCUUGAAUCUGGCAGAGGGGGGUAGAAUUCCACGUGUAGCAGUGAAAUGCGUAGAGAUGUGGAGGAACACCGAUGGCGAAGGCAGCCCCCUGGGUCAAGAUUGACGCUCAUGCACGAAAGCGUGGGGAGCAAACAGG